GAUGAACGCUGGCGGCGUGCCUAAUACAUGCAAGUCGAGCGAACAGACGAGGAGCUUGCUCCUCUGACGUUAGCGGUGGACGGGUGAGUAACACGUGGAUAACCUACCUAUAAGACUGGGAUAACUUCGGGAAACCGGAGCUAAUACCGGAUAAUAUAUUGAACCGCAUGGUUCAAUAGUGAAAGACGGUUUUGCUGUCACUUAUAGAUGGAUCCGCGCCGCAUUAGCUAGUUGGUAAGGUAACGGCUUACCAAGGCAACGAUGCGUAGCCGACCUGAGAGGGUGAUCGGCCACACUGGAACUGAGACACGGUCCAGACUCCUACGGGAGGCAGCAGUAGGGAAUCUUCCGCAAUGGGCGAAAGCCUGACGGAGCAACGCCGCGUGAGUGAUGAAGGUCUUCGGAUCGUAAAACUCUGUUAUUAGGGAAGAACAAAUGUGUAAGUAACUAUGCACGUCUUGACGGUACCUAAUCAGAAAGCCACGGCUAACUACGU
rnacentral:rRNA from 1 species